GGUUUUUAGAGGCUGAAGCUGCCAGCAUGAUCUGGUAAUCGCUACAUACGACAUACACACAUCUCUAUAUAAUUUAUGCACGGACAUGUGUAUGUACAUAGUUUACAUGCAUGCAUUUUGUGUAUGUAUGUGUGUGUAUAGAUAGUAGUACUAGGUCAUCCUGCAGCUUCAGUCACUAAAUCA